GGCACACUGGGGACAGGUGGGACCUCCUGGAGCUGCCUGGGGGGCCUGGUGAUGCCAGCCUACGGCAGUCAUACUGCCCACACUGCCAAGAGCCCACAUGGGCAAGGGCCAAAGACCUCCAGCCCACCAGCACCACCCCCUACUCCACCCCAACUUCAGGGCGUGCCUCCAUUUUUCCAGCUGUCAAGAAAGCCCUUACCAAGAGGCCCAGGCUCUGUGGGCUCCAGCUCUGCAUUUCCUGGUUCUGGUGUGGAGACAGAGCAUGAUGAGGAGCAACGAUGUGUCUGCCUGGUUCAUCGCUGAAUCCCCAGGGCCUAGCCCAGCACUUGGCACGUGGUAGGGACUCAACACAUCGCUGCUGAAUGAAUGAAUGUUGGCCCUGCUA
rnacentral:lncRNA from 1 species